UGCUUGAAAAUCGAUCAUAGAUCUAUUGGCUUAAGGAAUGAAUACUAGAUUUAUAAUUAAAAAUAAAAAAUAAAAUCUUCAAGAUAUAUUUUCUUGUAUUAUUAUUUUGAAUUUUUUUGCACUUUCAGUUUACCCUCUUCUCAACUAUUUUCAACUCUAACUUAAUUAGUUAUAAAUAAAAUUUCUUAAAAUCUUAACUAACUCAAAUACAACUUAGCCCU
rnacentral:lncRNA from 1 species